rnacentral:rRNA from 1 species
UACGAAGGGUGCAAACGUUGCUCGGAAUCAUUGGGCGGAAAGCGCACGUAGGCGGCUUCAAAAGUCGGAUGUGAAAUCCCGUGGCUCAACCAUGGACGUGCAUUCGAAACUGCGAAGCUUGAGUAUGGAAGAGGGUCGCGGAAUUCCCGGUGUAGAGGUGAAAUUCGUAGAUAUCGGGAGGAACACCAGUGGCGAAGGCGGCGACCUGGGCCAAUACUGACGCUGAGGUGCGAAAGCGUGGGGAGCAAACAGG